UAAUAUUAUGGGAAAGAACAAGUGGACUAGGCAUGUUGAUCAUGAAGAUGAGAAUAUACAUCCAGGUUGCAUGUGGGGGCUCAUACAUGCCUUUGGCUACCAUAGCUGGCACUCUCGUGUAAAGAGGAAAUCUUUGCCUAGAAUCGGAAGUAAGUCAUUCUUAAGUGAAAUACGGCAGAUUUAACUUAUAUAUGCGGUCACUGGCACUCUCGUGUAAAGAGGAAAUCUCUGCCCAGAAUAGCAAGUAAUUCAUUCUUAAGUGAAAUACCGGAGAUUUAAUUCAAUAACAACCUCAUUUGUUCCGAAUAUAUUUGGAUGUUAUAGCAAGCUGCUGUUAUAUAGAACAUAACAUGAAAAUUGGUUUCGGCAAAAAGAUUGGUUUUUAUAAUAUCAUGUUUCUUACAAACAAACAGUUAUUGC
rnacentral:lncRNA from 1 species